UUGCUCACCGGAAAGAGGAGUGGCGAACGGGUGAGUAACACGUGGGUAACCUGCCCAUCAGAAGGGGAUAACACUUGGAAACAGGUGCUAAUACCGUAUAACAAUCGAAACCGCAUGGUUUUGAUUUGAAAGGCGCUUUCGGGUGUCGCUGAUGGAUGGACCCGCGGUGCAUUAGCUAGUUGGUGAGGUAACGGCUCACCAAGGCCACGAUGCAUAGCCGACCUGAGAGGGUGAUCGGCCACAUUGGGACUGAGACACGGCCCAAACUCCUACGGGAGGCAGCAGUAGGGAAUCUUCGGCAAUGGACGAAAGUCUGACCGAGCAACGCCGCGUGAGUGAAGAAGGUUUUCGGAUCGUAAAACUCUGUUGUUAGAGAAGAACAAGGAUGAGAGUAACUGUUCAUCCCUUGACGGUAUCUAACCAGAAAGCCACGGCUAACUACGUGCCAGCAGCCGCGGUAAUACGUAGGUGGCAAGCGUUGUCCGGAUUUAUUGGGCGUAAAGCGAGCGCAGGCGGUUUCUUAAGUCUGAUGUGAAAGCCCCCGGCUCAACCGGGGAGGGUCAUUGGAAACUGGGAGACUUGAGUGCAGAAGAGGAGAGUGGAAUUCCAUGUGUAGCGGUGAAAUGCGUAGAUAUAUGGAGGAACACCAGUGGCGAAGGCGGCUCUCUGGUCUGUAACUGACGCUGAGGCUCGAAAGCGUGGGGAGCAAACAGGAUUAGAUACCCUGGUAGUCCACGCCGUAACGAUGAGUGCUAAGUGUUGGAGGGUUUCCGCCCUUCAGUGCUGCAGCUAACGCAUUAAGCACUCCGCCUGGGGAGUACGACCGCA
rnacentral:rRNA from 1 species